UGGCUCCUGAGAGCCAUCCGUAUCCUUAUGCUUUGGAAUGAUUAUUGCUUAUUGGAUUAUUGUUGAUUUUGAAAAACUUUUACACUCGCUCAUUUUGAGAUUUCUAUUUGACGUGUUAUUGCUCACGUUUAUGAACUCUUCAUGCUCGUUACUUUGCUAUAUCGAAAACUUGUACUUAUAAAUAAGGGUCAAUUUGUUAUUUGGAACCUCACUGGGCUUUUAGCUCAUACCACGCUAUUUGUUUUCCUUACAGGGGGACGAGUGACGCGUGAGACUUGUAAAAGACUAGCGUAGCCUUUUGUUUUGACUUUUGACUUUUUGGUCUUGUACUCGCGCUAUUCCUCGAAUGGAACAUGUUGUACUUGGAUUGUAUACGUUUUG
rnacentral:lncRNA from 1 species